GAUGAACGCUGGCGGCGUGCCUAAUACAUGCAAGUCGAGCGAACAGACGAGGAGCUUGCUCCUCUGACGUUAGCGGCGGACGGGUGAGUAACACGUGGAUAACCUACCUAUAAGACUGGGAUAACUUCGGGAAACCGGCGCUAAUACCGGAUAUUAUAUUGAACCGCAUGGUUCAAUAGUGAAAGACGGUUUUGCUGUCACUUAUAGAUGGAUCCGCGCCGCAUUAGCUAGUUGGUAAGGUAACGGCUUACCAAGGCAACGAUGCGUAGCCGACCUGAGAGGGUGAUAGGCCACAUUGGAGCGGGGACACGGACCAGACUCCUACGGGAGGCAGCAGUAUGGAAGCUGCCGCAAUGGGCGAAAGCCUGACGGAGCAGCGCCGCGUGAGUGAUGAAGGUCUUCGGAUCGUAAAACUCUGUUAUUAGGGAAGAACAAAUGUGUAAGUAACUAUGCACGUCUUGACGGUACCUAAUCAGAAAGCCACGGCUAACUACGUG
rnacentral:rRNA from 1 species